rnacentral:rRNA from 1 species
UACGGAGGGGGCUAGCGUUGUUCGGAAUUACUGGGCGUAAAGCGCACGUAGGCGGCUUUGUAAGUUAGAGGUGAAAGCCCAGGGCUCAACCCUGGAAUUGCCUUUAAGACUGCAUCGCUUGAACAUCGGAGAGGUAAGUGGAAUUCCGAGUGUAGAGGUGAAAUUCGUAGAUAUUCAGAAGAACACCAGUGGCGAAGGCGACUUACUGGACGAUUGUUGACGCUGAGGUGCGAAAGCGUGGGGAGCAAACAGG